CUAAUAGGUGCUGCCUGACAUGACACUAGAAGAUUUUGUAAUGAUGGCAGUUUUCCAACUGCUCUGCUCUGGUAUAUAAGAGAGGUCUAACAGCCAGUUCAGCACUGCAGAAACUUCCAGGAUCUUCUCUGACCGUCUGUUGAAGCUGUGUGAUCAGUAAAUCAACCAUGCUGAAGGUAGCAAUUGUGCUGGGAUGUCUUCUGAGCCUCAUUGUGGCUGAACCUAUGGAGCAUCAGCGGUUUGCCCGCUCCAGCUCUGGUUCCAACUCAAAUGAGUCCUCCAACACUUCCGUAAACAAUGUGCUGCUCCAGCUUCUUCUUGCUCUCCUGCAACAAACAACUGCAGCUACGACUACGGCAGCAACAACUACAGCUGCUACCACUGUAGCUACAACCGUUUAAAAUGGAGACAUCUAGUGAAUGAAGAUCAAGCUUUUC